rnacentral:lncRNA from 1 species
GUUUUCUAACAUGCUGGCAGAAAUACAGAAAAUGACAGAAUUUAAAGGUGGAGAUGGAGGCAAGAAGUUAACUGCUUAACAAGAUACUACUUGACAUUCUGAUAUGACCACCUUGGUUGAGAAGCAGUGCCGAGACUCUUAUUUGUUGUGGUUUCCAUGGAUAAAUUCAGAAGGAUGUUUGAUUAGUUUAACUCCAGAAAUUGCGUUAGUGCCGCAGAGAAAGCACUAAUGAGCAGAGAGUGGAAGAGACAUCCUUAGAGUGCAAUAGAGAGCAAAUUUGGAACCAGGCAGAAUACUUCACAGCAGCUGGAGGGCUUGGAGGGAGCAGUGGAUUGUAUGUGAAAGAACAAGACUUGCAGAGAUGAAGAUACCAAAGGAAAGUAUGAAGUGCUUCAUGCCAGGAGGCCAGUACAAAGGAACUUUGCCUGCUGCAUUUUCCCCUGCAGAUUCUGUAACUUGCAGAAUCUUUGAAAUCUGCUGUAGUUCCACUAGUGUGAAGAUGGGAUGGCCUUAGUAUUCUGAUUUCCAAGCCCAUCCACCACCUGCCCCUUCCCUCCUUUGCUUCCCUCUUGGAACCCCCGAGCAAAGUCCUUUGCUCCUCCUGCAGUGACGGCCACCUCCCCAGCUGGCCUCGGGUCUUCUCCCGUUGCCUGUUGGUGAGAGAAGGACCCUGAAGCGGAUGGCAACGUGGAGCAACAGGAAGAUGCGGGAACRGCUGCCACCCUUGCUCGUCCUAAGGAGCUGCGGGGAACGAAGGGGCAGCAGAAGGGCGAAGGCCUCUCACCCAUCGCUAUUGCUGAAACCAAAGACGUGCAGCUGCCUCCCUUCCUCUUCCAAAGGGAAAUAAUUCCCCCUUCCUUCCUCCUGCCGCCAGGCUCCAGUUUCCAAGGAGACAGCGGUUCAUGCCUGGAGCACGCAGCAGGCAGCUUCAGGCGAUACUGGCGUUUUCCUCGCUGGCAGUCCUUACUGAGCGUGCCGUGCGUGCCGAGCCCUGCAGGAGGAAGGUGCCCCGUGGAGAAGCC